CGUCCAUCCCUUACUUGGUAGAAGCGUGCGAACGCUGGGGUGAAGUGAGGAAUGGCACAAAGGCUAUGGUCCAAAGGCUUUUAGCUAUGGUCGAAAGUCGUAGAAGCUAAAAAUGCAAAAAUACUUAGCCCAUGUGUCCAUUUCUCUCAUUCCCCCUCUCACAAACUGAAAUUUUCAUCUCCCUCCCACUCAUGAGAUAAAAAAAACCUAAACCAUCCCCUCUCUCUUGAUCUCCCAUGCGUGCCUUUAUCUCUCUCGAUCUCUCAAACCCUCUCUCACAAAUACUCCCCUCUCACGAACCCAUCUUCUCUCCCGAGCCACCCCCUCUCUCUCAAUCUCAUGAAGACUCCCCUCUCACGACAUAAUCCGCGCCCAUUUUAGCAUGUUAUGUUAGAACCCUUUGAGCCAUCACCUUUCAUGCCUCCUGUUACCAAGGGGUUCAAUAAUGACUUUGAUGCAACGACUAGCAGGCAACAAAGAAGCCAAGCUGCUGCCUUAGUUAGAUCAUCAACUAGUGAAAAAGAGGUCGGUUUGAAGGAGAGCAACCUGGUGAAGAUUAGAUAAAAGUUGUGGUAUGUUGCUUCCAUUCUUUACUACCAGCCACUCACCAUCUGAGACGUUUGUCCGCUAAGCAUGGUAAAUUUUUUGAUCCAGAAAACUUGGUGGUGCUCAUAUGCUACCUACUUGCUAAAUUUUUAUUGGGAUCCAUUGUAUUGACACUUAACAUCAUGGUUUCAUAUAAGAAAGUAGUCUUGAUUUUGAAUUAAAUCUUGAAAUCAUGGAUUUUUUCUUUCUGCAUCAUAGCUUUUAUCUGCACAACAUCCAUCACAAACUAUAAUGCCAACUCAUUGGUGGUUUUUUUAUGUUUUGAAUGUUGAGAGUGCAUGCCAAAUUUAUUGAAAUUGUCAUUUGUGAGCAAAAACUGAUCUAUUGUGCAUGCAACUGUUCCGCUGAUGCAAGCUGAAGUUGUUGCUGCUCUUGCUUAUUCAGAAUCCCAAUGAUUUCUACAUGUUGUUCCAAUUUGCAUGCCAGGUUCAAAAAAGGCCUUUGAAUAAGGAGUUGUCACGAAAAGAAGAGGAUAUUAUAACCGUCUAUGAUAAUGCAUACUUAACUGUUCAUGAGCCAAAGCUAAAUAUGUUUUAUUAAAAAUGAGAUCGAUAAACUAUUGAUGGAGUUCGGAUCUUUAAGUGCUGGUGGAAUUGCAAAUGCAUCCAAUUCUGUGACUAGCAAAUCUAAAUAGGAUGGAGGCCAUGUUCUGAUAAUCUGUUACAAAGCCAGGACGGUGCUGACUACCAUAUGUACAUUUUCAGAGAUGAAUAUGGUGAUAAUGUCUAGAUUAUAAUUGGAGAUGACUUGAUACAUGCGGAUGCACACUGUUGUGUUAGAAGGUCGAAGUGGCUUGCCUAUGCUAUCUUCGGCUUUGUGAGUUGAAAAGAUCUAUUGUUUCGAGCAGCAAGGUAGAAAUUUUGAGAUGCAGAUCGCAGUCUGGUAUAAUCCUCUGUUUUUAUGCUGGGGCCCUGAUAAAUAUGCCUGCUGUAUAAGUGAUAUAUGAGAUGGAGAUUGGUGGCCUUCCAAAUAAAUUAUUAGGCCAGUGCUAUUGAUUAGCAGGGAUUGACAAGCAAUCAAUUUAUCAUGAAACUUACUCUGUUUCUUGUUUACAAUUUUUGCACUACUAAUUACUUACCUUUCUUGAUAUAAUUCCAAAUGAUAACUAUUACAAGUUAGCAUAGAGUAGUACAAUUUUUUCUCUUUUAAAUGAACAGCAAAAAAAAAAAAAAGGUUCACUUGUUUGGUAACUAUCCAACAUGGAAUGGUGAUAUUUUUGGAGAAGUGAAGGAAAAAAAAAAAAAAGAGGAAAGAAAAAAUAGUAUCUCUCUUUCCUUUUAGCAUAUCAUCAUAGGAUUACCAAUAACAUAAAUGGCCACUCUACUUAUUUUGGAAUUUGGGCAGAGUUUUCAUAGGAUGAAGUUUAUUAUCAGGCAAGAGUAUUUAUGAUAGUCCACCUCAUACUAGGGAAAAUUUUCUGAGUUAACCACCAAUGUUGUGUACAUGAGAAUUUUUUACUGCACCAGUUUUUUUUUUUUUUUAAACAUUUUAAUCUGAUAUGCUUAAUUUUGAUUGUUUCAAGUUUCCUUUUUGUUUGCAUUACUCCUGUCCUUGUUGCAUGUAUAUAUUCAGAGAUUCUAGAGUAUAAUAGAUCUUCAUCUCCUCCCAAAGUGUAAGUUGUUUAAUUGAAAUGAAGACUUCAUGACUUUUUCAGCUAUACUUCAAGUGAUUUGACAUUUACCGAAUGAGUUGAGGUAUAACUGAAGUGUCAUUCCUUCUGUAAUGAUAUGAACCCGUUAUACAUUAUGCUUCUGUAAGUUAUUGGGAGGUAUUGAGUCUUUACUUACUAGUAAGAACUAGUGUUGGUGUAUCUAAGCAUAAUAUGACUGUCGUGAAGAGCAAACCAUCUCAUGACUUGAGAUUGUAGCUGAAAAACUAGAGACGGGGAGCUCUUUUGUUAUCUGCUCUCUGAAAAAUGAUGGCUUUAAAUGAAUGAUGGGGUGGAUUGA